GCCUCCGCCGCGAACGGGAACGGGAACUUCUUAUUCGUAUUUGGUCGGCUCUCUUCGGCUCUCCGACUAAUCGGCCAUAGCUUUGCUCGCUCGCUGGCUGCGGAACUUCAUUCAUUCGCGCUGCGCGUCUCGUCUGUACCGGUUGCCUCCUGGCUCUCUCCUGCCUCUCCUCUCUCCGCCCGCCGCCCCCUCACUCACACAAUUGUUAAGCAAAGACAAAGGCAGUAGCACACACACUCAGUGCUCCAGCGAAAUAAGUGCAAAAAUCAGAGAAAAUAUUCAAAAUCCAAGGCGAAUAAAAUAUACAAAAAGUGAACAAUCAGCCAAAAAAGUCUGGGGCCCAGCCAAUGCGUCAUUCCCGCAGUCAGUCGCUCAAUCCGGCAAAAAGAGCUAUCGCCACAGACACUCACUCACACUCACUGGCACAGUUGCAAUUACCAAGUGCGAACGGCAGGCCAGACAUCGCACACAUACACGCAUACACCCAUACAGUCGAACAUCUAUAAACCCAGAAAAGGCAUUAUAGAACCGAGAUUUUACUGUAGAGAUCGGAACUAAAACGCAGGGCAGUGCGGUUCUUCAAAACAAGUUCCUAGAAUUUUAAUUACUUACUAGAAAGUACGUAAAACUUGGCAUUUGGCUGAAAAGUAUCUUUAGAAAUGGGCCAAUAGCUCUGUUUUCCAAUCAAGUUUGAAUAUGGUUGGUCAGUUGUAGAUCUUACUGAAUAAAUAAUGUGAAAUCUUAGCUAUCUUGUCGUGCAAGGAUAAUAUUAUGGAAAUUUCUAGAGCUAAAUUUACUGUGUGUGAAAGUAUACAAAGCUGGGCGAUAACCAUAUUUUUGCUUGUAGUUAAGUAUUGACAAAGGUCCAUAACUCUUUAGUUAUUGGCAAAACAUCAUGCUGCCCUAUAAUGUCUUUCAGUACUAGCAAACAAUCAGAAUGCUUAUAAGGCAAUAAGGCUUAAAUUUACUAAGUAGCUUGUUUGAAAGUCUUAUAUUCCAGUGCUUAUACCUUGUUAUGCAGGAUAUGAUUAUAAAGCCAGUUACGCAUGAUUAUAUAGCGGCUCAGACAUGUAGGGUGUUUAGAUGCCGAAACGCUUUAGGCCCAUUCAAGGCUAUACAAAAUCAGACUAGUAAUACCAGCUUGGGCGGAUUUUCCCGCUGUGUAGAUUGGCAGACAGAAGGUAGACUGUAACCGCCGUGGGAGGGGCGUGGAAUAGUUAUCAGCCUGCGACUCAAAGUCAAACUCAAACUCAAGCCCAAACCCAACCUCAGAAACAGAAACAGACUCAAAAUCAGACUGCGGCUGAAACUGAGACGCCGCUGCCGGCGUUGUUGUCUGAAAUUUAACACACACAAUACACACACCGAUACACCGCCACUCCGCCACACCGCCACACACGCCCAUUUGCACACAUGGCCAACCGGAUGUUGCAGCCAUCUUUGUCAUCUUUUUCAAUCUCAGCCUUGGCUAAGGUCGCUCCUGCCACCCGAUGCCCCCCAUUCCAUUAGAUUCCGUUCCAAGCCAUCCAAGUUGCCCGAAAGAGACGGGGCAAGAAAGAGCCGAGUGGCUGCCGUGAAGUCGUGAAUUUAUAACAAAACGCUAGACUCGGCGACUCUGACCGACUGGUUUGGCGUGUUGGCCCGGCUAAAAUGGAUUUUUUAUGGCUACAACAAGCAAACAGAACAGCAACAACUGAAUCAAAAGCAUAAAAAUGCCGCAACCCGAAAACCCGCAAACCCGCAACACGAAAUUCUGAAUGGGCACCAUCUGAAUUUUCGAAAAUUGAACGAGCCAGUUGGAGAGUUGGCCAAUAGAGCGAGAGAGAGAGGGACAGAGCGAGAGUGAGAGGGAGGGGAAGAGGCCCGACGAUAAGGAAAAAGCGGAUAUGUCUUUUGGGGUAUGUUGGCUUGGCAAAGAUGGAAAUCUUAAUGCAGACGGAUGGAUGGAAAUGGAAAUGGAGAUGGCAAAGGCAAAGUCGAGCAACACAACUCAGGCACUUCCGGAAUGGAUGGCUCGACUCCUGACUCCAAAACCGACUUGACUCCGGGAUCUUGGCACAACUCGAGUCGGACGCUUCAGAGUGAACCAAGCCCCACUGCUCCCACUUCCCGGAUGCCGCAUAAGGCAGCAUAAAACACACUCGCACACACACUGAAACACUGGAAAAGCAGAAGCCUUGGCUCGGCGAGGAGUUAAUUUGAAUUUUAUAGCAGUCAAGUUGUGUAAUUUCAGCACCCAAACCUACAUCGCCUGGCAUAUAACGUAUACGAGCCGUAGUACAAGUAGAGGCGUUGAGCAACACAUGUUGCCAAUGCAGCAGUGGGCGUGCCAUGUAGUUGCAUGUGUGGGUGAGUGGGUUUCUUUUAUUUUUUCUUUCUAUAUUUUUUUUCUCCAAGCUACUUUUCAACAAUUUUCCUUGCCAACUGACGGAUGAGAAUGCAGAGCACUGAGAGCGAAAAGUUUUUCAAUUUCUUCAACUGCAUUCGGAGAAAAAAAAAGAAAGGGGGAGACAAGGCUACAGACCAUGUUUGCUCGGCUACAAGUUAAUCUGGCCAGAGACUCAACUUUGCCAUCCGUCUUGGCAAAGUGAAGAGGCGCAGAAUGUGUGUGCAGAUUCAGUUUCAGUUCCAGUUCAUUCUGCAGCGCAGCAUUCCUCUUCGUUAUUUUUUUUGCCGCAGCCAACUUCUAAUUUUGUUACAAAUUACACAUGUAAUGCAUAUGAAGGGGCAUCCACAAUUUAUUAGCUGCAAAUGGUCGACUCAAGGAGUCUGCCCCGCUUUUAUCUGUUUGCCCUCGGGUUUCGGGGCUCAAUUACAAGCCAAGUUUAUCCGGCUGCCAAUAAGCUCAAGUUUAUGGUCUGCAGCUCUCGGCAAUUAAGUUAAGCCGCCCAAAAGAAUGUGCUUUCUCGAAAAGAAGAGAAGAGUUUUCGUUAGCCAGGAUGAGUGUGUGUGAAAAUUGAAUAUUCCGCAUGCCACAUAAAUUGAAAGGAAUGGAAAAGCGAAAAGUGCAGCAGACUGCUUAUUAAAUUAUGUCGGCCCUGCUGCUUGGGAAACUUUCUGCUUCUCGUCCAUAUUAAAAUUGUUGGCAAUCUUUUGCCUCUUUCACUGCUGCAAAUGGCCUGGCUGUCGCAGCAAUUAUUUCAUUAUGUGUGUGGCUCGGCCAAAGCAAACUGCAGAUUCCAGAAGCCCGGAUUCUAUAUUCCGGAUUCCAAGGCUCUUUUUGGAAAUUAUGCACUUGCAAACUUUUGCAACAUUCCGGCAGACAAAAAGGCGUUUCAUUGUUAUUAUCAUAAUUGCAUAAAGAACGCCUCUUUCUCGGUGGCAAAAAGAUUUUAGGCGCCGCUUGCCGACGACAGUUUGGCAUUUUUGGACACGACUAAGCGCCUUAUUUGGCUUUGCAUUUGGCCAAGUCAGUUUUAAUUAGUGCAAGCUCCUGUAAAGUGGCAGUUCCAUUAAUUUCCCUUCGCCAGCACGUGUCUCCUGGCAUUUUGCUCAGACUUCCGAUUUUUCUCCCUCACGCAUCAUUAAACGCGCCCAAAGCGAAGCACACGCAAAUUAAAGUGCCACAUAAUUUGGCCAGCACCACGCCCAAGGCAAAAAAGGCCGAAAAGCAAACAGGGAUUGGGUUUUUCCUGCUCAUUUUCCUCGGAUGUGAGUGAUUAUAAAUAAGAGAUUCCGCAGAGGGCCGGCCCCCGACCAAUUUGGUUUAUUUGCCCUUCUCCGCCAGCCAACAUCAUUGAUUGUAUCAAAUGGCUUGCUAAAUGUUGACUCUCUGAACGCUUUGUCUCGUUUGGCGGAAGCGGAUAUGUCCAGCGCCCGGAGGGGGCGUGGCGUAUUUAUGGGGCAGCUGCACUGAAGCGGUCGCAUUUCAAACUUGUCCCGCUCGAGGCGUUCGCCUGUCAUCCUGCCACGCCGCACUGCCUGCCGCAGGACACGAGUUGCGUGCCGCACUCAAACACUUGGCCCUUGUCGCUCCUGUUUCAAAUAUGCGCCUUUCGCCGCCGGAAGUGCGUGGAAUGACGCGGCCCGAAACUUGGCCUUGUGGCUCCCAAAUUAUCCGCACCCUAUUUGCAUAUGCCCCGGGAAGUAGUGGGGUAUCAAAAAAUAUGGGAAUCAAGAGUAUAAGCUUAGAUUUCAACACUUAAGCCAUUCAGCUUACUUUUUUACUAUUUUUAACAUUUUUUUAAGUAAUAAAAAAGUUUACAAUUUGAUCAUAAAUUUUUGUUUGAUACCUGUCUUUAAACAUGACCUUUAAGA